AUUGAACGCUGGCGGCAGGCCUAACACAUGCAAGUCGAGCGGAAGGGGCUUCGGCCCUGAGAGCGGCGGACGGGUGAGGAGAGCGUGGGAAUCUGCCUGUAGAUGGGGGAUAGCCCGGAGAGAUCCGGAUUAAUACCGAAUUAUACCUGCGGGUGAAAGUGGAGGAACGCAAGACGUCACGUCUCCAGAUGAGCCCACGUCAGAUUAGCUAGUUGGUAGGGUAAAGGCCUACCAAGGCGACGAUCUGUAGCUGGCCUGGGAGGGUGGCCAGCCACACUGGAACUGAGACACGGUCCAGACUCCUACGGGAGGCAGCAGUGGGGAAUAUUGGACAAUGGGCGCAAGCCUGAUCCAGCCAUGCCGCGUGUGUGAAGAAGGCCUUCGGGUUGUAAAGCACUUUAAGUUGGGAGGAAGGUUCCUUGGUUAAUAUCCAAGGGAAUUGACGUUACCGACAGAAUAAGCACCGGCUAAUUCCGUGCCAGCAGCCGCAGUAA
rnacentral:rRNA from 1 species